GUCUACGGCCACACCACCCUGAACAUGCCCAAUCUCGUCGCAGAAGCUAAGCAAGGUCGGGCCUGGUUAGUACUUGGAUGGGAGCCCACCUAGGAAGACCACGUGCUGUAGGUG
rnacentral:rRNA from 1 species